rnacentral:rRNA from 1 species
UACGGAGGGUGCAAGCGUUAUCCGGAUUUACUGGGUUUAAAGGGUGCGUAGGUGGGUUGGUAAGUCAGUGGUGAAAUCUUCGAGCUUAACUCGGAAACUGCCAUUGAUACUAUCAAUCUUGAAUUAUCUGGAGGUAAGCGGAAUAUGUCAUGUAGCGGUGAAAUGCUUAGAUAUGACAUAGAACACCCAUUGCGAAGGCAGCUUACUACGGAUAUAUUGACACUGAGGCACGAAAAGCGUGGGGGAUCAAACAGG